GAUACGCAGCGAAAUGCGAUAAGUAAUGUGAAUUGCAGAAUUCAGUGAAUCAUCGAAUCUUUGAACGCACAUUGCGCCCUCUGGUAUUCCGGGGGGCAUGCCUGUUCGAGCGUCAUUAUAACCACUCAAGCUCUCGCUUGGUAUUGGGGUUCGCGGUUCCGCGGCCCCUAAAAUCAGUGGCGGUGCCUGUCGGCUCUACGCGUAGUAAUACUCCUCGCGAUUGAGUCCGGUAGGUCUACUUGCCAGCAACCCCCAAUUUUUACAGGUUGACCUCGGAUCAGGUAGGGAUACCCGCUGAACUUAAGCAUAUCAAUAAGCGGAGGA
rnacentral:misc_RNA from 1 species